AUCACGUUAGUAAAUAAACCCCCAAUCUGUAUUCAAAACCAUCACACAAUGGCCCAGAUUUACUAAACAGAAAGCCAACACUUUUACUUUUUAUUUUUACAGCGCGCUCUGAUUUUUCCCAACCGGAUUACCGAGGUCCAAUUGCACCCCCAUCAUCUGCAUUCCUUGGUCAUUUGAUCAACAGAAAAGGUCUGCCUUCAAACACCUGGACCUGAACCACAAAUGCAAAAUUGGUAGGCCAACUCUUCGCUCAGGCUCUCAAACUGGAUCUCCAGGUCUCCUCUGGCCAUGGUCAACUCAUCCAAGACUCUACGGAGUCCAUUGAUGUCAGCCUCCACACUCUGACGGAGAGCCAGCUCAUUCUCAUACCUUAUGAACAAAUACAGUUCCAGCUCGGAAUUGGCAGCCUCGAGUGCUCUCACUUUAUCCAAGUAAGAAGCCAGACGGUCAUUGAGGUUUUGCAUUGUCUGCUUAUCGCUUCCACCACCAGAACCAAAGCUGCUUGAUGCUGCACCACCAAAG